rnacentral:lncRNA from 1 species
AUGCUGUACCUUCUAGUCCUGCUUGUGGUAGUUCCUUCACUAAUAAUGGCUGUUUGCCUCUGGAAGAUGAAGCGGGUGAAGAAUUGCUGCUGUCCUGUGAUACCUAGUCCUAACAAGAGCAAAGUGCUGUCAUUCAAAGAGUUUAAAAUUGGUACUGAGAAAGUACUAAAGCUAAGUGACUGCAUUCCUGACACCCUCGCACUGGAUAAUAAGGCCGAGGCCAAAAAAUUACCUCCACGGAGCCUGAUGUCUUCAAUGCCAACAGAAGAUAAGAUUGAUGAUCAGAAUCUUUCCUCAGUUUAUCAUAACAAAAAUGAAGAGAGAAGCUUUCCAUCCACACCUACACCUCAGACUCAUACUUGGUUUGAAAAUUUUGCUUAUUCUUCUCAUCUUGCAGUUGAAACCAAUCCUUAUGAAACACCAGAGAGACUAGAAACCGGCAAGGGAGAAGUGUCAGCAGUGCUGUACCAGCCACAGUACUACCUCAAUAUUUUGAAUGAUGCUUCUACCUCAUCACUUGGAGAAGCAGCUGGCAGGAACAGCAAUCUGAGAUACAUAUCACAAACUGAUGUGCACUGCAUUGGAAGGAGGCUUUGAUGUACCCUCUUUGACCAAGUCUGUCGAUUGGUUGUAUUUUAAAAUACAAACAGGAAUUUCUGAAGGCACAGCAACUUCUCUUUCUGACACAGGUUUUCACAAGCCCAGAUGUCCCACUCCUGUUAUCCCUGCAAAGCUGUACAUCGGUGCCUAGUUUCAAGGUUUUUGCAGUGGAACACUGCAUGCUAUCAUUUGAUCAGAAGUUACUGGCUUUAGAAUUUGCAGGCCAAUGUUUUGCAGCCUGUAAUAUGUGGUGGGAACCAUUUUCCCACCAGGGCAGCUGUUUGUGGAGGAGUUACCACCACACUCAUAGUGCUCAUAUCCUUUUUUGGCAUUACUCCUUGCACAUAGCAAACUCCAGACAACUAUGUAAGUAGACACGAGUCAGAUGCAGUUAUAUUAAUCCCCUUUGCAAAGAACAUAUUUAGGCUCUCUAUCAGCUAGAUCUUCAGAUACUGUUGUUUGCAUGUUAAAAAAAAUAGUCUUCCUCCAGCUAGCAAUGAAGGAAGGGCCUGCUGGCUGUGAUUUUGAAACUCAGAAAAAGACAUUCAUCUUGUUACUUGCACAUUUUAGCUUGCAGCACUUGUAGAUACAUGAAUUGAGCACUGUGACUUUGUGAUGACUGAGAAUUUGAACAGCAUACUGAGGUGAACUUGGUCAUUUUUGAUUUUCAAAGAUGUUUUUAAGGAAGCACAACAGAUUGUCUCCUUCAUUUUUAAAAAAGGCUUAUUUAAAGAAAACUUGAAAGGCAGACUAAAAUCAAGAGUGAGGUAUCUAAGGAACUCUCAUAUAGGGCUCUGAAAAAGUCAGAUUGUCCCACGAACCACGAAAGUAAUAUUUGAUGUGGGGCAGGUUCUUUAUGGCAGAGGGAUGGCUCUAAUGAGGCCUUAUUUCAUGCUUCUGAGCUGCUAUUGCUGGGGCUUGGCUGCAGCAGCUGAGCACAAAGUGGCAGGGAUAUUGUGGGUGGUCAUUCAGCUGGUGCUGCCUUCCUGAUGGUGGGUGAGGUAUUGGGCCUGUCCGGAGCUACCAUCUCAGCUCCAAAGGUGGUUCCCACAGUCUUUCCAAUGAAAGCAUUUUGUCAUUUGGAAGCAAGAGAACAGCUUACCAGCAGGUACAGGCCUGCCUGCCUGGCAGCCUGAGAGGUUAGCUCCUCUGCCUGUCUGUGGGCUGCUCGUGACAGCUUGUAUCAUAAAACGCAGGAACAGACUAUUCCAAGGAGAAUAAGGCUUUUGUGUAGGUGGAAGGGUAUAGUGAGGGCACUAGAAAAGUAUUUUUCACAUGGGGAUAGAGAGGCAUGUAAAUGCCUCUUUCUUUCUUUCUUUUUUUUUUCCUUCCCUCUAAGACAUCUGUCUUGUAUUAAUAAUGGUUGAAUGAGUUCAAAACUGAAAGACUUAUUUCUUGUUUCAUUUCUUGUUUAUAAUUCAGCUUUCACAUCUGCUGUUGAAAUGCUAACACUUGAAUUGUGCAUAACAUAAUGGAAAGUGACUAAUUCUCAGUAUCAGUACUCAAGUUUUAAAAUAAAAAUGGUGUACAAAAUACUACGGAGUCCCCUUCUAUUUUUACAGGACAUUUUACAAAGUAUUAAUGUAAAAUAUACUUUGACAAAAAAUGUUUAUUUGGAAAGCUUCAGCUUGUUCUAGUUAAUUAGUAACAUACAAAUAUAAAUAAAAUUCGAAUCCAUUUCUAAUACUGAGAAGUACAUAUGAGACCAGAACAACUAUGAGAAGUUUAAGUACAUUUUAUUAACAAUGCAUCCCUUUGAUAAGAUUAUGCUUCAGGAGGCUUUUAAUGCCCAUAGACAUGAACUGUACACACUAUACAAAAAAAAAAAAGAAAAAAAGAAAAAAAGAAAAAAAAAGAAAAAAAGAAAAAAAGAAG